rnacentral:rRNA from 1 species
AUUUGAGGGUUAUUGUAUUAUCUAAGGUUAUUUUAUUUUUGUAAGAAAUAUAUUUGUUUUUAUUAAUUUUAUUUGAAUAAAUUUUUUUUAUUAUAGCUUAUUGUACUGUGAAGGAAGUUCUUUUUUUCUGUAAAAGUAAAUUUUAUUAGUUGUACCUUUUGUAUCAGGGUUUAUUAAAAAUAGUUUAAUGAUUUAAUUUUCUCGAAUCUAUAAGAGUUAUAAUAAUAUUUAUAUUAAUGUAGAAUAAUUAUUUAUAAUAUUAUUAUGGAAAUGAAAUGUUAUUCGUUUAUAGAUAUAUCUAGUUUUCUAAGAAAUAAGUUUAAUUUAAUUGUUAAUAUUAUUUAUAUAUGUUUAAAUUAUGUGAUGUUAACAUUAAAUAUUCAAGGGGAUAAGCUUUUGAAUUUGUUUUAUAUUUAAUUGGUUAUUAAUAAUAAAUAGGAUUAGAAUUUUCCAUUUUUAUAAGUAUGUUAUAUUUUAUUAUUUAUUUAGGUUGAUUUAAUUUUUUAUUAAAUUUUUUAUUAGAAUGUUGUUUUUAUUUUUAAUUGAUAAUUAAUUAUGAUUGAAUUAGUAUAAUUUUAUGUAAUUUUAUGUUUUAUUGUCAGGUUAUUUUAAGGAAUUCGGCAAAAUAAUUUUCACCUGUUUAUUAAAAACAUGGCUUUUUGAGUAUUAUUUAAGGUCAGGCCUGCUCCAUGAUUUUUAAAUAGCCGCAGUAUUUUGACUGUGCAAAGGUAGCAUAAUCAUUAGUUUCUUAAUUAGAAGCUGGAAUGAAUGGUUCGAUGAGAAAUUGACUGUCUCAUUUUAAUUGAAUUAGAACUUAAAUUUUAAGUGAAAAUGCUUAAAUGUUUUAUGAGGACGAGAAGACCCUAUAGAGUUUUAUUUUAAAUUUUUUAGUUUUAUGUAAGAUUUAAUUUGAAUUUAUUAAAUUUGGAAUUUUGUUGGGGUGAUGUGAAAAUUAGAAAAACUUUUUAUUUUAUUAUACAAUAAUUAUUGAAUUGAUGAUCCUGAAUUUUGGAUUAUAAGAUUUAAUUACCUUAGGGAUAACAGCGUAAUUUUUUUUGAAAGUUCUUAUUGAAAAAGAAGUUUGCGACCUCGAUGUUGGAUUAAAAUUUAUUUAUGGUGCAGUAGCUAUAAAAUUAGGUCUGUUCGACCUUUAAAAUUUUACAUGAUCUGAGUUUAAACCGGUGUGAGCCAGGUUGGUUUCUAUCCUUUAAAUUUUGAAGCAUUUUAGUACGAAAGGACCAGGUGUUUGAAUUAUAUUUUUAUAGUUGAUUAUGAUU